UAAAGAAAAAUAGAAGACAACAACAACAGAAAAACGAUAAAAAAAAAAAGGUUGUCUGAAGAGAAAAAAUCGAUUCGACAUCAUAGAUCUGAUUCAAUCGAGGAUGGAUCAGACAACCUCUAUUUCCGAAUUGAAAAACCCAGAGUAAGAUCCAUCAUCAAUCUGUCUUAAUGGAGUACCGGAUGACGUCUUCAAUUGAUAAGAGAGAUAAUCUUCUAAAAACUGUUUAGAUCCCGAUUUGUUCUAACUUUUUCUGAUUAUAGCUCAGAAACUGUAAAGAUUCCUGCUUGAAUUGCUCUUUUAUGUCUGAUUCCAGCGUUUCUUCUAAGCAGGGAAAUCUAUAAACGAAUAUGGGUGUUCUUUAUAAGGAACUCGAAUGACUUCCACUUAACCAAAGAUAAGUAACCCUAAACCCAUUUCUUGAUUUGUAAAUACCUAUGACUUAUCUAUCCAAACACUCUAAUCUUUUUGUUUUUUGAUAUUACCUGGUCAGGGUUAAAUUACUUUCAUUAAGAAGAAGUGUAGAGACAACAAUUGGAUUUAAUUUCGGCAUAAAACUUACCAUAUAGUUUUGGAUUUCUUUUUCCUUGCAAGUAGAGAAAUAUUUUUCCUACAAUGGGUCACUAAGUGAGGAGAAAUAUGAGGAACACUAAAUCAAAGAUGUAUGAUUAUAGCUUUUGAGUGGAGCUUCGAGAUAUAUAAUUGAAUUGUCUUCUUUUAAAGUCAGGAGAAAUAUGAAGAACACUAAAUCAAAGAUGUUUGAUUAUAGCUUUUGAGUGGAGCUUCGAGAUAUAUAAUCGAAUUGAGUCUUCUUUCAAAGGUUUACAACGAUUGUGCAGAAAGGGCUAAAAACAUCAACAAUUACAGUCAACUAACUACGAACGAUGAUGGCGUCUUACACGGUUUCCGGACAGGACAUAAUCAAAUGGGGAAAUACAGAGGUUUGAUCCCGCGGUACAGAGGGUUUCCUGUUAUAUGUUCACAUAACUUAAACUUUGAAAAUAGAAGUGGAAGAGUAACAUUGCAAUCUACUAUAUAUACUGGUAAGUUAUUCAAAUAACACUUAUAUUUAAAUAACACUUAUAUGUAUCGUGACCUCAAAAUGUACUAUCAUUGGGUUGGGAUGAAGAAAGAUGUAGCUAGUUGGGUCACGAGGUGCAAUGUGUGUCAGCUAGUGAAGGCUGAGCAUCAGGUUCCAGGUAGGUUGCUGAAGAGUCUGCCCAUUCCAGAGUGGAAGUGGGAUAUGAUCACGAUGGACUUCGUGGUAGGAUUGCCAGUGUCUCGGACCUUUGAUGCUAUUUGGGUCAUUGUGGACCGGUUGACUAAGUCGGCACAUUUUAUGGCUAUUAAGAAGACUGAUGGAGCAGCGGUCUUGG